rnacentral:siRNA from 1 species
GCCGUAAGCGCGUGGGUGCGGC